CCCCAUCCGCAUUUUCUCAUCCGUAUUUUCUCAUCCGCAUCCGUAUCCGCCAUCCGCAUCCGUAUCCGCCCUUUAUCCCUACCCUUUAGCAUCAUGCAUGUUUUUCGCUCGGCAACCUCUGCUCGGCAACUAUAGGGAGAUUUCAUGCUAUUUUGGACAACACAGAGCUUUUAUCCUUUAAAAGGCUCCUGAAUUAACCACGUUUGUUUAACGUAUUCUGCCAUAGCAAAUAACAGGUGGGCAUGUUUUGAAGUGUUAUUCUUAAAAUUAUCGUCCAACUUCGUGGCUGCAAUGCCAAGUGAUGUAGCCUCCGCUCUCUGGUCUUGAAUUAUACUUUCAAGAGGACAAAUAACAAGACUACUAUAAGAAAUAUUCGAUCCCUGCUCGUGCUGGCAUGUAGCAAGCUUUGAUUUGGCGAUAAUGCAUAAUAAUUGAAAGAUUAAACUUCUUCCGUAUCCCAUAGGAAGAGUCGCGAUAUAAACGUCUUCACCACGUAGCAAAUUAAUAAUAGACUUUUUCUGUUGUGG